CAGGUACAACUCUAAGUCUUCUCACUGAGCCUUUUACUACAGGGACAGCUAGACUGUCACCAGGUAUAACCACAGCAGGGGACAAUGGAGGCAGAAGUGUCACAACUUUCUCAGCAGGGACCACGAGAGAAUCUCUGUCCUCCGGAUCCGCAGUGACAACCGGUGCCACAAAUUCUGGUAGCAGCCCAGCAGGUGAGCACGAAGGAG